rnacentral:rRNA from 1 species
AACGAACGCUGGCGGCAGGCCUAACACAUGCAAGUCGAACGCCCCGCAAGGGGAGUAGCAGACGGGUGAGUAACACGUGGGAACCUUCCCUAUACUACGGAAUAGCCCAGGGAAACUUGGAGUAAUACCGUAUACGCCCGAGAGGGGAAAGAUUUAUCGGUAUAGGAUGGGCCCGCGUAGGAUUAGCUAGUUGGUGAGGUAAUGGCUCACCAAGGCGACGAUCCUUAGCUGGUCUGAGAGGACGACCAGCCACACUGGGACUGAGACACGGCCCAGACUCCUACGGGAGGCAGCAGUGGGGAAUAUUAGACAAUGGGCGCAAGCCUGAUCCAGCCAUGCCGCGUGAGUGAUGAAGGCCUUAGGGUUGUAAAGCUCUUUUGCCGGGGACGAUAAUGACGGUACCCGGAGAAUAAGUCCCGGCUAACUUCGUGCCAGCCGCCGCAGUAA